rnacentral:rRNA from 1 species
CAGCCGUAAACUAUGCGCGUUAGGUGUAUCGGUGACCACGAGUCACCGAGGUGCCGAAGGGAAACCGUGAAACGUGCCGCCUGGGAAGUACGGUCGCAAGGCUGAAACUUAAAGGAAUUGGCGGGGGAGCACCGCAACGGGAGGAGCGUGCGGUUUAAUUGGAUUCAACACCGGAAAACUCACCAAGGGCGACUGUUACAUGAAAGCCAGGCUAAUGACCUUGCUUGAUUUUCAGAGAGGAGGUGCAUGGCGUAGACGUCU